CAUCCAUGUAAGACGUGAGUUGCUCCUCCUUGCCUUCCACCAUAAUUGUGAGAACUCCACAGCUAUGUGAAACUAAAAUAAUGUUUCUUCGUAAGUCUGUGUCAAGUUCGUGAAUCAGCCUCACUUUCUUAUGGCAAGGAGUAGAACGAACCCAAGAAAACAUACCAGCUGUGACCCCAGUAUUUUAUGAAGAAACCCUUCAGGCUGAAAGGCGAAGGACUCUUGUACCUGACAGUAUCCAUCCAGAUUCCCCACUGGAUCAAAUAAAUACAUUGAUCUUUAAAGUGCACCAUGAUCAUUGGAAGUGCAACAAUUUACUUUGGACCCUUUUCUGAGUUGUAUCAAUGAAGAACUGUUUUAAUCGAUUUAAUAAUGAAUUUUUUUU
rnacentral:lncRNA from 1 species